rnacentral:rRNA from 1 species
UACGAACGCUGGCGGCGUGCCUAAUACAUGCAAGUAGAACGCUGAAGGAGGAGCUUGCUUCUCUGGAUGAGUUGCGAACGGGUGAGUAACGCGUAGGUAACCUGCCUGGUAGCGGGGGAUAACUAUUGGAAACGAUAGCUAAUACCGCAUAAUAGUAGAUGUUGCAUGACAUUUGCUUAAAAGGUGCAAUUGCAUCACUACCAGAUGGACCUGCGUUGUAUUAGCUAGUUGGUGGGGUAACGGCUCACCAAGGCGACGAUACAUAGCCGACCUGAGAGGGUGAUCGGCCACACUGGGACUGAGACACGGCCCAGACUCCUACGGGAGGCAGCAGUAGGGAAUCUUCGGCAAUGGACGGAAGUCUGACCGAGCAACGCCGCGGGAGUGAAGAAGGGUGUCGGAUCGUAAAGCUCUGUUGUAAGAGAAGAACGAGUGUGAGAGUGGAAAGUUCACACUGUGACGGUAUCUUACCAGAAAGGGACGGCUAACUACGUG